UAAUAUAAUUUUGUCUUGUGAGUCCGGAUCUUAAAAUAUAACUAUACACGAACGCAAUUGAAUUUUGAUCAUUACUCUUAACUUUAUAAUAUCUAUAAUAUUACAAAGUUUACUCAUAACAAAAUAUUAU
rnacentral:sRNA from 1 species